rnacentral:sRNA from 1 species
AGAGCCGCCAUGCCGGAACCGCGCGGGUCGUCGCAGCUGCGGGUUAACGCGGCGUUUGCCGCGCGGUACAACCGCUACCGGGAACGCGAGGAACUGCAGCGGCGAAUUUGACCCCCAGCAGGAGCGGGACUUUUACAAAACGCUCUCCUUGUUGAAGAAGAAGGACCCCCGCAUUUAUCAGAAAGAUGCCACCUUCUAUAACAGAACAGCAUCAUCAUCAGACAGUGAGGAGGACCCAGAAGCCUUGGAGAAGCAGAAGAAAGUGCGGCCCAUGUACCUGAAGGACUACGAGAGGAAGGUUAUCUUGGAGAAGGCAGGCAAAUAUGUUGACGAGGAGAACUCAGACGGGGAGACUUCCAAUCACAGACUCCAGGUGGGUGGGGUGAAGGCUGGGUCGGGGGGCUGAGGGGCCUGGGGCUGGCCUGAGACCUAUGGCCCUCUCUGCAGGAGACAUCGUCGCAAAGUUAUGUGGAGGAACAGAAACAGCUCAAGGAAAGCUUCCGGGCAUUUGUGGAGGACAGUGAGGACGAGGACGGCGCUGGGGAGGGCGGCUCCAGUUUGCUGCAGAAACGUGCCAAAACCAGGCAGGAGAAGGCCCAGGAGGAGGCCGACUACAUCGAGUGGCUGAAGGGACAGAAAGAGAUUCGGAACCCAGAUUCCCUGAAGGAACUGACGCAUCUCAAGGAAUACUGGAACGACCCUGAGUUGGAUGAAGGGGAGCGGUUCCUGCGGGAUUACAU